rnacentral:rRNA from 1 species
AUACGGAGGGUGCAAGCGUUAAUCGGAAUUACUGGGCGUAAAGCGCGCGUAGGCGGCUUUGUAAGUCGGAUGUGAAAGCCCUGGGCUCAACCUGGGAAUGGCAUUCGAUACUGCAUAACUCGAGUAUGGUAGAGGGAAGUGGAAUUUCCGGUGUAGCGGUGAAAUGCGUAGAUAUCGGAAGGAACACCAGUGGCGAAGGCGACUUCCUGGGCCAAUACUGACGCUGAGGUGCGAAAGCGUGGGGAGCAAACAGGAUUAGAUACCCCGGUAGUCC